GCGGGUGUGGCUCAGUUGGUUAGAGCGUUGGUCUCAUAAUAUGACUUGGCCAAAGGUCAGGGACAUCCAAAGGUCGAGAGUUCGAGCCUCUCCACCCGCA
rfam:Nectria haematococca mpVI 77-13-4 chromosome 12 genomic scaffold NECHAsca_29_chr12_4_0, whole genome shotgun sequence.